AUUGCCCAUGAUAUUAUGCAGGAGACAGUGCAUGGCUGUAUGCGGCUCGUGGUCUUGACCUUUCUUCUGGCACUCUGCCUGAGAAUUUGUGCACCGGAGGCGUUGUAACUUCAUAUAUUAUUGAGCAAGUUCCCAAAGAACAAUCACCAGACACUUUAUGUCAAGGGUCUUUUAAGUUUCAACAUGAUAAUGGUGGAACUGAUUCUAUUAGGUGCUCAUUCAAAUUUGCGAAGUCUGUAAUUCACGCAAUGGAAUUAUACUCUGCAGCAAUUCGUGUCUCAAGUCCAGGUCUUGGAAAGAUAUAUUUCACUACAUAUUGUGUUCCUUUGGCUUGCUAUAUCGUGGUGUAUGAACCGUUGUUACAUUAUGAUGAUCUUCAUCAUAACAAAAAAGCAGAAGAUUCAAUCUGUAAUUCCAAUAAAAUUAUAAAAAAGAGGUGGCUAGCUAACAUAAGGAAUAUUUAUGAGGGCCUCGAUUUACUUCACUCAUUGCGUAUAAGUCAUCCUUUUGACAAAUAAGGUGUUUAGUUACAUGUGGUGCAAGACAGAGGACGGAUCUAUUGGAUCUGUAAAGUUAAUAGGUGCAAAUGGAAGCAUGCAAACAAUGACCAAACACAAUAAUACAGUGAGUAGAGAGCGAGAUGAACGUGCGGGUGUUUUACAUUUCCUUGAGAAACUUCGUAUUGCGGAGUGCCCUGAUUAUCCGUCAUUCAGAUGGCUUGUUGAAAACAGUGUUUCUGCUAAAGCGAUUCUGGGGCAUCCACUGCUUACUAAAUCAGACGAGGCCAUAGUUGAUGUAUAUUACUGGUUACACGAGUCCGUGUUAAGCCUAGAUGGAAAUCAACGCAGUAUGUUGCAGAAUGAUCUGAAUGCCAAAUUCCCUACUUUAGCAAAUACUUGGAGAAACACAGUGAAGUCAAGUACUGCUUUUGUGGGAGUGAAAGUUGCUAAGUACUAUGAUGAUCUCUUGGAU